CUGGACACGGAAGGGAUUGACAGAUUGAUGGCUCUUUCUCGAUUCUGUGGGUGGUGGUGCAUGGCCCUACAUG
rnacentral:ncRNA from 1 species